GUGUGUGUGUGUGUGUAUGUAUCGUCGAGAGAUCAAUACUUACAAGUAAGCGUUGAAGACCAAUGGCGAAGAAGGCAUCAUCGAAAGUGGCUCUUCUCUUACCUCUGCUUCUUCUCCUUCUCUGUCUUUCCUCGAACGUUGGAGCCGUCGUCGUCGAGGCCAAACACCGCAAACUAGGAGUACGUGACCCUAUAGGAACCUUCCCGCCAGUGGGUGGAGGAAGAAUCCAAGCAGAAAGGGCGCUUCCAUCCGCCAAAAACUCGGAAGCGGCAAGCUACAAAAACGCAGUUCCUUGAUCAAUUCAAGAACCGUUGCAUACGUACGUCGUUAUACUAUUGAAUAAAUGUGCAGUGAAUGCCUAAGAAUCCACUACUUGUUGUUCUUAUUGUCGCUCUAUUCCUAAUAAGAAUUUACUAUAAAUUAUUAUUA